rnacentral:rRNA from 1 species
CAGCCGUAAACUAUGCGCGUUAGGUGUACUGGUGACCACGAGUCACCGGGGUGCCGAAGGGAAACCGUGAAACGUGCCGCCUGGGAAGUACGGUCGCAAGGCUGAAACUUAAGGAAUUGGCGGGGGAGCACCACAACGGGUGGAGCCUGCGGUUUAAUUGGACUCAACGCCGGAAAUCUCACCGGAUAGGACAGACAUAUGAUAGUCGGGCUGAAGACUCUACUUGAUGAUCUGAGAGGUGGUGCAUGGCGUCAGUGACU